rnacentral:rRNA from 1 species
AGCGAACGCUGGCGGCAGGCUUAACACAUGCAAGUCGAGCGGGCACUUUCGGGUGUCAGCGGCGGACGGGUGAGUAACGCGUGGGAACGUGCCCUCUGGUUCGGAAUAACUCAGGGAAACUUGAGCUAAUACCGGAUACGCCCUUUUGGGGAAAGGCUUGCUGCCGGAGGAUCGGCCCGCGUCUGAUUAGCUAGUUGGUGAGGUAACGGCUCAUCAAGGCGACGAUCAGUAGCUGGUCUGAGAGGAUGAUCAGCCACACUGGGACUGAGACACGGCCCAGACUCCUACGGGAGGCAGCAGUGGGGAAUAUUGGACAAUGGGCGCAAGCCUGAUCCAGCCAUGCCGCGUGAGUGAUGAAGGCCUUAGGGUUGUAAAGCUCUUUUAUCCGGGACGAUAAUGACGGUACCGGAGGAAUAAGCCCCGGCUAACUUCGUG